UCUCUCUCUCUCUCUCUCUCUCUCUCUCUCUCUCUCUCUCUCUCUCUCUCUCUCUCUCUCUCUCUCUCUCUCUCUCUCUCUCUCUCUCUCUCUCUCUCUCUCUCUCAGCCUGAGCCACAAUGACAUCACUGAUGCUCUGACUGACAGAAUACUCCAACUGGUCUCUACCAACACACCGUACGACUCUUCAACAAUAGAAUCCAGGACAGAAGACCCUUCCUGACAGACAAGAGGUUUGAGAUCUGGUGAAACAACAUCAGGUCUUAGUCCAGGAAGAGAAGGCUGAAUCCAGGACAGAAGACCCUUCCUGACAGACAAGAGGUUUAACAUCUGGUGAAACAACAUCAGGUCUUAGUCCAGGAAGAGAAGGCUGAAUCCAGGACAGAAGACCCUUCCUGACAGACAAGAGGUUUAACAUCUGGUGAAACAACAUCAGGUCUUAGUCCAGGAAGAGAAGGCUGAAUCCAGGACAGAAGACCCUUCCUGACAGACAAGAGGUUUGAGAUCUGGUGAAACAACAUCAGGUCUUAGUCCAGGAAGAGAAGGCUGAAUCCAGGACAGAAGACCCUUCCUGACAGACAAGAGGUUUGACAUCUGGUGAAACAACAUCAGGUCUUAGUCCAGGAAGAGAAGGCUGAAUCCAGGACAGAAGACCCUUCCUGACAGACAAGAGGUUUGACAUCUGGUGAAACAUCAGGUCUUUGUCCAGGAAGAGAAGAUGGAUGUUGAAGAUGGACAUAGAGGUUUCAAGACUAGUUGGCAAGGCCCAGUUCUGUGACAUUUUAGUGACUGAGGACAUGGUUAGGAAGGCCCCAAUCACUCUCUCACACACACACACACACACACACACACACACACACACACACACACACACACACACACACACACACACACACACACACACACACACACACACACCCACACGUGGAACACAAAGAAGAAUGAACAUAGAGAGAGAAUUGACAUUGAUUAAAGAAAAGAAGAAGAAAUUAAUUAUGAAUUUAUGAAGAAAAUAAUGAAAGGUUAAAUAUGUUAAAUAUUGAAAGCCUGGGGAAACAUAGUGGGAGAUAUUACAAGGUGAUUCAAGUAAUGCAGUAAAAUGGUUCAGAAUGUUUUAAUGUUGGUUGCUUUAAUUAAGGUACGAUGCUUCUAGACUGUGUUGGUUAGGUUUAAAGGACAAGGCCUUAUGGUCUGUAGGAGGUUGGUAAUGACAUGUUAUAAUGAUGAAAUGGUAUAAUUAUUGAAGGGUUUAAAAAUGUUGAAUGUUUAGGAAGUAAUGGGAAGAAUAGGAUCGAGUGGGAUUAUAAUUGAGUAGGGAAUGUUAAUGUUUAGGAAGUAAUGGGAAGAAUAGGAUCGAGUGGGAUUAUAAAUUGAGUAGGGAAUGUUAAUGUUUAGGAAGUAAUGGGAAGAAUAGGAUCGAGUGGGAUUAUAAUUGAGUAGGGAAUGUUAAUGUUUAGGAAGUAAUGGGAAGAAUAGGAUCGAGUGGGAUUAUAAUUGAGUAGGGAAUGUUAAUGUUUACGAAGUAAUGGGAAGAAUAGGAUCGAGUGGGAUUAUAAUUGAGUAGGGAAUGUUAAUGUUUAGGAAGUAAUGGGAAGAAUAGGAUCGAGUGGGAUUAUAAAUUGAGUAGGGAAUGUUAAUGUUUAGAAAUAAAUGCAAAUAAAUGUUUUAAAAGUUAAUGAUAAUGGAGUGUACUAAGGGUGCUAUCUUGCUUUAUUUACUGUUGAUGUUGCUUAUCAUUGAUUGGUGAUAUUGAUUUGUGAUUGACUGAUUUAUGUGGGAUGCUUGUUUCUGGAAUUUUGAAUAAACUUGCUUUAUUGUUCUGAAA